rnacentral:tRNA from 1 species
GAGGGUAUAGCUCAGUGGUAGAGUGCACGCUUAGCAUGCACGAGGUCCUGGGUUCAAUACCCAUAUACCUCCA